rnacentral:rRNA from 1 species
ACCUACGGGGGGCAGCAGUAGGGAAUCUUCCACAAUGGGCGAAAGCCUGAUGGAGCAACGCCGCGUGGGUGAAGAAGGUCUUCGGAUCGUAAAACCCUGUUGUUAGAGAAGAAAGUGCGUGAGAGUAACUGUUCACGUUUCGACGGUAUCUAACCAGAAAGCCACGGCUAACUACGUGCCAGCAGCCGCGGUAAUACGUAGGUGGCAAGCGUUAUCCGGAUUUAUUGGGCGUAAAGGGAACGCAGGCGGUCUUUUAGUUCUGAUGUGAAAGCCUUCGGCUUAACCGGAGUAGUGCAUUGGAAACU